UGACGUGUUGUUUGUAUUUUUGUAGUUAAGUUGAGCUGGUUCACUGGUUCAAGAUGUUUUUGGCUCCUCUAUGUUCCCACUUUGGCCUUUUCUGUAAAAGAUAUCUUUGCUACUCCAAAGCAGAUUAUCAAGACUCUACAGUAGCCACCAGGCAGCAGACAAAACAGCGAGUAAAGCUCAGUGUGUCAAGACUAUUUCUGUCUGUCGUGAAGCAUCCAGUUGAUGAAGGCCUCCCUCUGCCAACAACACUCGCUUCAAGGCCCUGUCCAUGGUGCUGAUUCCUCCACGUCCCAUCCACAUUUAAGCUAUUCCCAUCAGAAUGGGGUGAUGCUGGUAUCAUUCCCAUCGUCAGGCUUUGAACGCUGAGGGCUUGUGAAUUCUUUUAGCAGAAAGGUCUGUGGAGACAGCACCACCAAUAAGAAUGUAGUGAAUGGGAGGAAGAUGGAACCACCGACCACCCUCCCUUCAUUCUCCUGCUGCAACUAGAGGCGGCAUUUGUUACCUGAAGGUCUGUAAUGUGACAAGGCAGCAUUUGCAUUAUGGAUAUCAGGUUACUAUGGCAACUGAAUAAAGCCCUAGGACCUUAAAAAGAUUUUGAAACGCAUUGCAAGCCAAAGUUUCAGACGAGGGACGGUGUCAGGUGUUGGCAUGUUGGAUGUGGAAGGGAGCAAAGGGUUUCUGAUGCUGGGGCCUGGUGACAUAUCUAAACACUUAGCACACAGCCGAGACUCUAAACCACACAAAUUAACAUGAAUGGUGCCUCCAUUACCAGCACAGAGAACAAUCUUCCCUGUCCUCCAGCUCAUUUAAUGCACCUGCGACUUCAGCGCUGGGUCCAGAGUAAACACUUAUUCCCUCUGACAAAGUGUGAGACUCGUUGCUACAGCUGCUGGAGCCGCGGACGAACUUGAUUUGCCUGACGAAGUUUGGAGCUGCACAGUGAUCAACCACUGGUUUUAAAUUUCCAAUUCUUCUUGCGAUUCUAUCACAAACUACUGCAUGUUUACUUUAUAUGAAUGCUGAUGUUGGGACAUUGGGCCCGUGAUGUUGUUUAGUGCUCAAUUUGGUCUCUCCACAGUGAAUUUGUAGGUUUUGUAUUUCUUCAUUUGUGGCUUUGCAGAGUCUAAACCAUUUUAUUUUACUAAUUCGAUUAAAUGGGUGUUUUAUGUGUUUGCAGCUGAUUUGUGUUUCUUUCAGUCUUCAUUUGUUUAUUUUGUCAUUUUGGGAGGUUGACCUCAGAGUUCCGUGUAGUUUCCUACUUGUUUCUCUCAGUGAUAUUUGUGAGUGUUGAAUCUUUUGAGUUUCUUUUUGUCGGGUAAUUAUCCAGUUGUCCCUUAACUGCAGGCUCCGUCUCAGGCCCCUCUGAUUGCAGAACCAGUCUAGUCAGCCCAUUCAAUAAUAGCGACUAACAGCCCCAGUAUGUCUCAAAGGAAAGUGGACGCAGAGUGUUCCAAGAAAAAUGGUCAUCAUCCUAUUUAUUCA